GACGUAGGAGGCGAGCGUUGUCCGGAUUCAUUGGGCGUAAAGAGCGCGCAGGCGGCUUGGUAAGUCGGAUGUGAAAUCCCGAGGCUCAACCUCGGGUCUGCAUCCGAUACUGCCCGGCUAGAGGUAGGUAGGGGGAGAUCGGAAUUCCUGGUGUAGCGGUGAAAUGCGCAGAUAUCAGGAGGAACACCGAUGGCGAAGGCAGCUCGCUGGGACGGUACUGACGCUGAGGCGCGAAAGCGUGGGGAGCAAACAGG
rnacentral:rRNA from 1 species